rnacentral:rRNA from 1 species
AAACCAUUCUACUUACCCCCUAGUAUCGGAGACAGAACAGGACCCUCGGAGCGAUAGAAAAAGUACCGCAAGGGAAAGCUGAAAAAGAAAUGAAACAAACCAGUUAAGCCCAUCAAAGCAGAGAUUAAACCUCGUACCUUUUGCAUCAUGAUUUAGCCAGCAUAACUCAAGCGAAGCGACCUUUAGUUUGAGACCCCGAAACUGAGUGAGCUACUCCAAGCCAGCCUAUCUAAUUAAGGGCACACCCGUCUCUGUGGCAAAAGAGUGGGAAGAGCUUCGAGUAGGGGCGAUAAACCUACCGAACUCAGUUAUAGCUGGUUGCCUGAGAAAUGAAUAUUAGUUCAGCCUCUUACCUUCUUCCACUCCCCACUAACAACUUUAACCAAGGAUGAAAAGAAGAAAAGAGAGUUAGUCAAAGGGGGGACAGCCCCUUUGAAACAGACACAACUUUACCAGGAGGGUAAGGAUCAAACUCAACCAAGGAGUCACCCCUAAGUUGGCCUAAAAGCAGCCAUCUUUAAAGAAAGCGUUAAAGCUCAGACUACUACACUUACUCCCUUUAUUCUGAUAACCUACUCCAAACCCCCUAACCCUACCAGGCCAUUCUAUUAACAUAGAAGCGACCAUGCUAGAAUGAGUAAUCAGGGAAAAACAGCCUCCCUCAAGUCGCAUGUGUAACUCGGAACGGACCCCCCACCGAAUAUUAACGGCCCCAAGCACAGAGGGCAAUAAAACUACCCACCCCACGCUAGAAAACCUUUUACUGACCUAGACCGUUAAACCAACACAGGAGCGCACCAAAUGAAAGACUAAAAGAAAGGGAAGGAACCCGGCAAACCCCCCAAGCCUUGCCUGUUUAUCAAAAACAUCCCUCUUGCAAUCCCAAGAAUAAGAGGUCCUGCCUGCCCAGAGACACUUAGUUAAACGGCCGCGGUAUUGUGGCCCGUGCGAAACGUAGCGCAAUCACUUGUCUUUUAAAAUGAAGACCUGUAUGAAAUGGCAAGACGAAGGCUUAACUGUCUCCCCCCUCCAGUCAAUGAAAUUUGAUCUCCCCGUGCAGAAGCGGGGAUAAACACAUAAGACGAGAAGACCCUGUGGAGCUUAAGACAACAAGACCAACCUGUCAAAAAUAACAAAACAAAGCUAAACGAACUAAAUGGCCCUGUCCUUGUGUCUUCGGUUGGGGCGACCAUGGGGAACUAAAAAACCCCCACGUGGAACAAGAGCACCUCUACUCUCACAAACCAGAGGGACACCUCUAAUUAACAGAACUUCUGACCUAAAAUGACCCGGCUUAAGCCGAUCAACGAACCAAGUUACCCCAGGGAUAACAGCGCAAU